ACUACUCUGUACCAUGAAUUUGGCUACAAUCAGUACUCAACAGGUGCAAGAAUCUGCUAACAAGGAAUUAACUACAAUUGGCGAUUUACUGGGAAAACCAAUCCAAGAAAACUAAGCUAUAAUAGUCUAUAAUCCAGUUAUUGCAUAGCCUAGUUCAGUCCAUCCAACGCAACUAUAAACAAGAGUCUAAACAUCCUUAACGAACAAAACGUUCAAAUAUACAAAUCAGAAACUGAAUUAAAUUAAAAUCUUCAGGCUUCAAUUUCAAGUUCAUCCUUUACAUUUCAGCUUCACAAUUAUUGAAAUCAAGCUGUGUACCUGGAAUUGGAACAGAAAUAAAGCAGNNNNNNNNNNNNNNNNNNNNNNNNNNNNNNNNNNNNNNNNNNNNNNNNNNNNNNNNNNNNAGAAGAAAGAUCAGCAGCAGCAGUAAUACGAGCAGCAAUACAACAGCAGUUCACAGCAGCAAUUUGAAGUUCCAAACAGCCACAAACAGACUCAACCGAGCUUGAGUCAAGCCAAGAUUCUACUACAAAACUGAUCUUUUAAACUCUCAGAAACUGACUUUAAGCUUUCAAAAUAGUUCCAAAAACUGACUGCCUUUCAAAAGAACUCUCAAAAACUCUCUGAACUCCUCAGAAUAUUGUUCAAAGACUGACCAAACUCUCCAGUCUUUAAGCUUUAGAAACUGAUUUUCAAGACCCUCUCUAACUGAUUAAAGACUCUCAAAAGUGAUCUCUCCAACUUGAAGCAGAGAAUUUUAAAACUGUUUAUGAUUCUCAGGGAGCUGGACUACUGGCUGAGAUUUUUGACAAGUUAAUUAAGGUAAUGAGACAAUAAAAGCUCUCUCAACUCUCUUCCUUAAGGUCUCCUUCCAUUCUAAGGUCUGCCCUGUAUUUUAUACCCUAAGACAGACCCCUUUUCCAGCCUGUUUUAACACUUAAAUCAUUAAGAAAUGUAUUUCUUCCAUCAUAUUCCCUGACAGCCACUACUAAGUGUCUAAUUUCAUUAUUUAAUUCAAAGGUGUAUGGGCAAUGCUAUAUUUUAAUCAAUUCCUUUUAAGCUUCCACAUAUCAUUAUGUUUUGUUCCCCACUAACUAUUAAACAAAUAUUUAUUUAAUGGUACACUAGUACUUAGUGGACAGAACACUCAAACUACCCAUUUCUUCAAGUUUUCAAUUCCCAAAUUACCCCCAUGGAACCCCUGUGAUUACUUCUUUCAACUAUAACCAAUUCUUAAGAAAGAAACCUAAUCACUGAUUAACUAAAGCUGAAUUUAAACACAAGUUUAAUUCCCUCAGACCCCAAACUCAAACAGAACCACAGUCAGAUUCAAACCACUAAACUCACACAACAAUUGAACUCAGAUCAGAACGAACAGUAUUACAACCAAGAUGAAGGGUUUAAGGAUUCAGGGAAUAGACUAACUAUAUUCACAACUCUAAACUAAACAAAAAUGAAUGAAAUACUGUAACAUACUAGAUGAAAAUAAACUGAAUUUAUAUGUAAAAUGAUGAACAACAAAAACAGGGAGCCAAACAUCUCAGAAAAUGAGACCAUUUGAACCAGUUAUACUAGUAACCAAUUACAGGACUAGACACAGUUUUUGUACAAGAACAUUACGGACACUGACUUUUACAACCAAACUAAAGGACAAACACACUCAAUCGAUUCAACAUAUGCCAAUCAACCACAUGAGAAAAAAAACUGGACCAGAAAAAGGGUCCGAAAGAGAAGAGAGAAAUGAAUCGAAAAGAUGAUGAAACACAAUGAAGCUUAAGCAGAUAAACAACAACAAAAGAAAAAGGGAAACAAAAGAAAUACCUCGAAAUUUCAGACCAAACCCAAUUCGUUUCAGUCGACACUUUGUCUUGAAAUUUUGAAACCAAAACGAACCUUAAUCGAGUGUUCUCGACUGAGAACACUCGACUAAAAUCGGUUAAAACCUCAAAUUUUUAACUCCGUACACAGUCUGAAGUUUGGUUUUUUUAGGGUUUGCCUUCGAUUUGAAAUUUGAAAGGCUCUAACAAAAUUCGGACAGAACUGGGGUGGGAUUUGGGACGAGGGUAGCUAGGUGGUUCAGUGGUGCAACUUUGGGUCAAACGGACGAACUAGGGUUUUGGGACUGAUUUUCGAUUGAAGAUUCAAAACGUAUGGUACUGAUUCGAAGAAAACUAAUUCGGGAUUUGGAAAGAGGACAUCGUGGGGAGGCUGUGGUGUAAUUUUGGGGCUGUUUGGACCACCGGAACCGCCGUGAGGCGAUUUUCGGUGGGUGGAGCACGGUUGUAAGGGGCAGAGGGUUCGUUUGGUCUCUAAGGCUUAGAGGCGAAGAGGUGAGGGGGGGUUUGGCUUGGAGGCGGGGUAUGGUUUGGACUUAUAUAUGUGGGGAAGUGAUU
rnacentral:lncRNA from 1 species